rnacentral:rRNA from 1 species
GAUGAACGCUGGCGGCGUGCCUAAUACAUGCAAGUCGAGCGAACGGACGGGAAGCUUGCUUCUCUGAUGUUAGCGGCGGACGGGUGAGUAACACGUGGAUAACCUACCUAUAAGACUGGGAUAACUUCGGGAAACCGGAGCUAAUACCGGAUAAUAUUUUGAACCGCAUGGUUCAAAAGUGAAAGACGGUCUUGCUGUCACUUAUAGAUGGAUCCGCGCUGCAUUAGCUAGUUGGUAAGGUAACGGCUUACCAAGGCAACGAUGCAUAGCCGACCUGAGAGGGUGAUCGGCCACACUGGAACUGAGACACGGUCCAGACUCCUACGGGAGGCAGCAGUAGGGAAUCUUCCGCAAUGGGCGAAAGCCUGACGGAGCAACGCCGUGUGAGUGAUGAAGGUCUUCGGAUCGUAAAACUCUGUUAUUAGGGAAGAACAUAUGUGUAAGUAACUGUGCACAUCUUGACGGUACCUAAUCAGAAAGCCACGGCUAACUACGUG